UACGUAGGGUGCAAGCGUUAAUCGGAAUUAUUGGGCGUAAAGAGCUCGUAGGCGGUUUGUCACGUCUGCUGUGAAAUCCCGAGGCUCAACCUCGGGCCUGCAGUGGGUACGGGCAGACUGGAGUGCGGUAGGGGAGAAUGGAAUUCCUGGUGUAGCGGUGGAAUGCGCAGAUAUCAGGAGGAACACCGAUGGCGAAGGCAGUUCUCUGGGCCGUAACUGACGCUGAGGAGCGAAAGCGUGGGGAGCGAACAGG
rnacentral:rRNA from 1 species